rnacentral:tRNA from 1 species
GGGGGAUUAGCUCAGCUGGGAGAGCGCGACAAUGGCAUUGUCGAGGCCACGGGUUCGAGCCCCGUAUCCUCCACCA